rnacentral:misc_RNA from 1 species
AUAGCUAGUCUAUGGAAGAACAGUAAUGUUCCUUCCGCAGAGUACACUUGCAGAAGCCUUAGUAGCCCGAAAGGGUUCUAUCAACGACUAUAAACAAGUAGGUAGAUUAAAUGCUAGUCUCCUACGAGGCGACACUAUCAAAUUGCGGGAAGAUCCUGUUAUGUUCACAUCACCGCGGCUCGUCGAAAGACAGGGUGCAGCACCAGGCUAACAACCUUGGGUAUGGUAAAAGUAUGUGAAAUAGGGAGGA